AUUGAACGCUGGCGGAGUGCUUUACACAUGCAAGUCGAGCGGCAGCGCGGGGCAACCUGGCGGCGAGCGGCGAACGGGUGAGUAAUGCAUCGGAACAUGUCCAUGGAUGGGGGAUAGCCCGGCGAAAGCCGGAUUAAUACCGCAUGAGCCCGAGAGGGGAAAGUGGGGGACCGCAAGGCCUCACGUCGAUGGGUUGGCCGAUGCCCGAUUAGCUAGUUGGUGAGGUAAUGGCUCACCAAGGCGAUGAUCGGUAGCUGGUCUGAGAGGAUGAUCAGCCACACUGGGACUGAGACACGGCCCAGACUCCUACGGGAGGCAGCAGUGGGGAAUUGUGGACAAUGGGGGCAACCCUGAUCCAGCCAUUCCGCGUGAGUGAAGAAGGCCUUCGGGUUGUAAAGCUCUUUUGUCCGGAGCGAAACGGGGCGCGUGAAUAUCGCGCUCUACUGACGGUACCGGAAGAAUAAGCACCGGCUAACUACGUGCCAGCAGCCGCAGUAA
rnacentral:rRNA from 1 species